CGUUAGAUUUUGAAAUAAAAUAUUCCAUAAUAAUUUAUUUGGUAUAAAGAUGAAAUUAUAUGAUUGAAGAAUAGAAAUUUAAUUUUUUGUCUGUAAAAAGCCUUCGAAUCCAUAACUUAUUAGGAUAACAUAUUUCUUCUAUGCAAAAAUUUAUUUCAUGCCGAAAAAAAUAACAUUACGGUGCGAAAUGAUAUUUAUCUGGAUAUUUGAUCACAAUAUUUAUCCAUUAAACACUGCAUAUUUUUCUGAAUAAAUUAAAAAAAUAUACCGAAUAAGAUGAUCAGGCAACAAAACAAGGUAUAAACUACUAAAUA
rnacentral:lncRNA from 1 species